UACGGGGGGUGCAAACGAUAUUCGGAAUCAUUGGGCGUAAAGGGCGCGUAGGCGGUCUUUUAAGUCAGAUGUGAAAGCCCUCGGCUUAACCGAGGAAGUGCAUUUGAUACUAAGAGACUUGAGUAUGGGAGAGGGAAGCGGAAUUCCUGGUGUAGCGGUGAAAUGCGUAGAUAUCAGGAGGAACACCGGUGGCGAAGGCUGCUUCCUGGACCAAUACUGACGCUGAGGCGCGAAGGCGUGGGGAGCAAACAGG
rnacentral:rRNA from 1 species